AGUGAACGCUGGCGGUAGGCCUAACACAUGCAAGUCGAACGGCAGCACAGUAAGAGCUUGCUCUUACGGGUGGCGAGUGGCGGACGGGUGAGGAAUACAUCGGAAUCUACUUUUUCGUGGGGGAUAACGUAGGGAAACUUACGCUAAUACCGCAUACGACCUACGGGUGAAAGCAGGGGAUCUUCGGACCUUGCGCGAUUGAAUGAGCCGAUGUCGGAUUAGCUAGUUGGCGGGGUAAAGGCCCACCAAGGCGACGAUCCGUAGCUGGUCUGAGAGGAUGAUCAGCCACACGGGAACUGAGACACGGUCCAGACUCCUACGGGAGGCAGCAGUGGGAAAUAUUGGACAAUGGGCGCAAGCCUGAUCCAGCCAUACCGCGUGGGUGAAGAAGGCCUUCGGGUUGUAAAGCCCUUUUGUUGGGAAAGAAAAGCAGCAGGUUAAUACCCCGCUGUUCUGACGGUACCCAAAGAAUAAGCACCGGCUAACUUCGUG
rnacentral:rRNA from 1 species